rnacentral:lncRNA from 1 species
CUUCACACAAGUGUGCACGGAGUAGUUGAUGAAUAUCAAACACAUGGCAGAGUUGUUCUUUAGGCACUGUUGAUCAGCACACAUGUGGAUUAAAAUGUCAAGAAGACAGGAGAAGGAGCGUGCUGGAAUAUUUUAUGGAUGUUAGAAACAAUUUUUUACUGAUGCUAGCAAGCAUGCAUUUGCACACUGCAGUCAGUGCACAACGGAGCCAAAGGUGCUGUUUUGUUUACAUGUAACAUUAGCUAGCCAUUUGUUUGAGUUGUGCCCCAUCUGACAGUGAAAUGUGGCUAGCUCUUACCGCAGCUUGGACUAUGGAGAAGCUAGAGAUGCAAAAGCCCAUUGCAUGCUUUGUAAGGUCCUGACCAGGCAUCCGGCUCUUUGUCCUCUGUACCUGCGUCGCUUCCUCUUGCAAAUAACGGGGAUGUUUGCCCUGUCGGGGGUUUGGAGAAUGUCCUGUGCGUCUUGCUUGUUGAAGAAAAAAUCUUUGUUUAAUCCAAGUGACUGCUUCAGAGCUGGAGACGGAACCGUUCAAUACCCAUAAAGUGUCUCUCUGUCUCUGUCUGGCCCUGCCUGAUCUGCGACAGCCAGAGAGGAGAGGAGAGGAGAGGAAUACACUGCAGACUUCAAACAGACUGAGCCAAACAGGACAGGGGUCCUCUGCCAACUGAGACAAAUACACUAUACUGCUCAGUGGAAAAACAGCCCCGGGAGGAUCCGAUGGUGACACGGGUCUCAGCAGGGUCAGACAGCCAGGGAAGACCAGUUUGUGACAGAGGUGAGGUGAAUUAUUGUAGAUAUAACAUGUUAUUAUCUCUGUCCAGCAAACACUGAACAAGCCAGAUGCAGUCUGACAAACCUCCAAAGUUGAUUUACAAACUCUAUCAAGGGUUGAUAGAGGCUUUUCC